AUACAGAGGGUGCAAGCGUUAUUCGGAAUUACUGGGCGUAAAGCGCGCGUAGGCGGAGGAUUAAGUCAGUUGUGAAAGCCCUUGGCUCAACCUAGGAACUGCAUCUGAUACUGGUCGUCUAGAGUUUAAGAGAGGGAAGUGGAAUUCCAGGUGUAGCAGUGAAAUGCGUAGAUAUCUGGAGGAACAUCAGUGGCGAAGGCGACUUCCUGGCUUAAAACUGACGCUCAGGUGCGAAAGCGUGGGUAGCGAACGGGAUUAGAAACCCCUGUAGUCC
rnacentral:rRNA from 1 species